rnacentral:tRNA from 1 species
ACCGGUGUAGUUCAAUGGCAAACUUUCUGCUUCCCAAGCAGAUCGGGGCGACUAUCCGGUGCGGUUGGCGAACGGCCGCCGCCGGUG